UUACUCAUGUAUUUGUUUUUAAUAUUUGGUAAGUGCAGUAGUAUAUGAAAGUAUCUAACAGUUAUAUUAGUGGUUCAUUUUGGAAACGCCCAUGUUGUCGCAUCCGUUCUCCGUUCGCGGGGGCGAAUGAUACAUACGCGGGUUUUGAAAAGCACAGUCGCGGUAGUAUUUCACACAUACCCCGACGCUAAAUAUAGCUGCUACGGACGAAAACUGGCUUUCUACUUUAAGUUACUAGGAUUUACAGGAACUCCUUCGUCGGCGGGACGCGAAUGAGACGCGGGGUUUUAGCCGCGCGGUCGUUGUAGUAUUUCACACAUAUACCGCCUUAACUGGGUUCCUACGUUAAGAAUUACAUGCUUCAGUGAGAAAGUUGAGGAACAAAGUCGUCCGCGGGACACGAAUGAGACGUGCAAUGGGCUUCAUCUGCAUCGCGGUUUUGUGGGGUGAGCAAUUGGACAGGCAGGUGGAGAGGAGACACUAGAUGCAUUCAUCCCAGCUUCCUGUCUGACUUUGCCACUCUGUUCACAGCAUAUCAUCUUCAUUCAAAGCGCUCUGUAUCUGGAGAGAGGAACAAAGAAGUCAGGAGGAAAAGUAAACAUCAGGCCAAAUGGUACAGAAGAAACAGGUUGCAGUGAACCUACAUGUUGCUACUCUUCUUUGCAAAGUGAUGGAUUUGCAGUGGAGUUUCUACAAUCCGCCUUUCGCAACCUGUGAUGGAACACAGUCUGGAGCAGAAUUGUUCUCCUUGACCAGAAGUUUAUUGGAAUCGCUUGGGAUCAUUUGGACAUACUGGACUGUUCCUGCAGUGGUGACAAUUAAUCUGUUUUUUAUGUAACAGUUAUACAACAUUUCAUUUCGUCAUCCACAAAAAUUAUUUGUGAGUCCUAUUGGAUUUGAUUCAUAUCAACAGUGAAGGUAAAGACCCAUUGUUCCACACUCUUUUAUAGCAUUAUCAAGCUAUGCCAUUGUUGUUGUCAUCGUUGUUUAGUAACCUCUAGCUAAAUAUAUUUAAUAUUGUGCCUUUAAAGUUAUGCAGUUUUUUAGAUAUUCCUCUUUCUGUGUGAAGGGCCACACAGUGUACAUGUUUCAAUUACUUUAAAAAUAUUUAAUUUCAUGUCCAUUAAAAAAAAAACAUUCAAAAUAUAUGUUUUGACAUUUUCCAUGCAAAUGUAAAAGUUAUAUAUUAAAUUUAAAUAAAUUUUGAACUGUUUUUAAAGCUUGUGUUAUUUUUUAAUUUUGUGAAAUAAUAGGUGAAUUAAGUUAUGUACAACAUGUUAUGCAGUUACAUAAAGUG